rnacentral:lncRNA from 1 species
ACGGGACACCUGCAUCUGCCAACAAGACUGGAAGCAGGUGAGGCACACAGAGGGGGAGGCCCGCAGCUGCGUGGGAGGAGGGGUGGUCUGAGGGACGUGGGAUGCCGGGAAUGAGGCUGGUUUGCAGGUUGGCGCAUGGACAUUUUCCCAGAAAGGGACAGAGACGGCGAAGUUUGACGGUCUGGAAAGCAGAGACCAGCAGGGCUGACUGCUUGGGAGCACCAAAUAUCCGGACAGCGCCUCUCGGGAGGUCCGAGAAGAGAACCGCGAUCUGUUUCAGCACCGGGGCUCAGGACAGUUCCCAGCGGGCUCCGUUUCGUCUCCAGAACCCUGGACAGCUCCUCCAGUAGAGACGGGGUUUCACCAUGUUGGCCAGGCUGGUCUCAAACUCUUGACCUCUUCAUCCGUCCACCUCAGCCUCCCAAAGUGCUAGGAUUACAGGCGUGAGUCACUGCGCCUGGCCCAAGUCCGGAAUUUUCAACAGGACAUGGGUGUUACUGUGCCCAUGUGACAUUUGGGGAACCCAAGGCCCUGAGAAAGGCAGAAAAAUAACCCACGCAGGGACUCUCAGCCCACAAGUGAAGCUCUUGGAAUGCACUCCCUCCACCUCCAACCAGAGCUCCCCACAACUGACCCUGCCUUCUUCUGCAAGCUCCAUUUCAUCAAGGGAAACGAUCCUUAUUGCCUCACCAUUUCCCACGUGAAGUCUGUAUUGACAUUCUCAUAGACCUGGGAUAUUGUGUCUGCAGCACAUAGUCCAAUUAUUUUCAUGUUAUCUACUGACAGGUCUAUUUGUCUCCCUGUUACACUGUGAGCUCCGUGAGGGCAGAAACAAUGUUAGUAUUUUCACUGCUGUGUCCCCAGCGCCUGGUCCGGGGCCCGGCACACAGCAGGCAUAUAAUAAGCAUGUGUUGAAUCAAUAAAGGCAUCAAAGAAUAAACCAAUACAUCAAUCAAUAAAUGAA